rnacentral:rRNA from 1 species
UGGGGAAUAUUGGACAAUGGAGGGAACUCUGAUCCAGCAAUUCUGUGUGUGUGAAGAAGGUUUUAGGACUGUAAAACACUUUUAGUAGGGAAGAAAAAAAUGACGGUACCUACAGAAGAAGCAACGGAUAAAUACGUGCCAGCAGCCGCGGUAAUACGUAUGUUGCGAGCGUUAUCCGGAAUUAUUGGGCUUAAAGGGCAUCUAGGCGGUAAGACAAGUUGAAGGUGAAAACCUGUGGCUCAACCAUAGGCUUGCCUACAAAACUGUUGAACUAGAGUACUGGAAAGGUGGGUGGAACUACACGAGUAGAGGUGAAAUUCGUAGAUAUGUGUAGGAAUGCCGAUGAUGAAGAUAACUCACUGGACAGAAACUGACGCUGAAGUGCGAAAGCUAGGGGAGCAAACAGG